rnacentral:ncRNA from 2 species
GUUGGUUCCUAGGGGUGUCCUCGCAUGCGAGGGCUGAGAGUCCGCCGGCCGUGGCGGUGACCCUUAGAACCUGAUCCGGGUCAUGCCGGCGCAGGGAAGGAACCGGAAGCGGCC